CCUACGGGAGGCUGCAGUGGGGAAUAUUGGACAAUGGGGGGAACCCUGAUCCAGCCAUGCCGCGUGUGUGAAGAAGGCCCUCGGGUUGUAAAGCACUUUCAGUGAGGAAGAACGCCUGGUGGUUAAUACCCAUCAGGAAAGACAUCACUCACAGAAGAAGCACCGGCUAACUCCGUGCCAGCAGCCGCGGUAAUACGGAGGGUGUGAGCGUUAAUCGGAAUUACUGGGCGUAAAGCGCGCGUAGGUGGCUUGAUAAGCCGGUUGUGAAAGCCCCGGGCUCAACCUGGGAACGGCAUCCGGAACUGUCAAGCUAGAGUGCAGGAGAGGAAGGUAGAAUUCCCGGUGUAGCGGUGAAAUGCGUAGAGAUCGGGAGGAAUACCAGUGGCGAAGGCGGCCUUCUGGACUGACACUGACACUGAGGUGCGAAAGCGUGGGUAGCAAACAGGAUUAGAUACCCUAGUAGUC
rnacentral:rRNA from 1 species